GAGUAUACAUGCAGAAUGGCCAAUCAGUUGGUAGCGUGCUUGCUCGAUAAGCUUGAAGCCCCAUUUUCCAUCUCUAGGGUAGGAGAUAGAAGUAGGGAGAUGAGGUGUUCAAGGUCAUCUUCAUCUGCCUGGACUAUACAAGAUGGCCUCGAAAACAAACUGUACACGGUGGUCCUGCUUAAGGGUUGAAAAUAACAGUAGUGGCACAUGCCUGUAAUCCAAGCACCUGGGAGUUAGAGGCAGGAGAAUGGGAGUUCACCACCAUCCUUGGCUAUAUAUGAAGUUUGAGGCAAGUCUUACCCAUGCUCCCAGCACAGUGAACCUCUUCCCCAGACAAACAAGUAAAAACCAAGAUUGAAAUUUGCCCCUCGCCGUUCCUGGCUUUCCUCCUUAGAUGGAAGUCUGCUGUGUACCUGGGAAAGGCACCAUCUUUCCUCUGUAACCUGUCAGGAGUGAAAAUUCACUGUGAGGAAAGGGGCUUCUAGUCCCACUCCUGGUUUAGGUUUCCUUGUUCUCUGUGACCAUUCCCGUGCCCACCCAGCUUCAGAGCUUGGGACUUAAUUACACAGAAAAACUGGAUGCCUGCACGAGUGUUUUCUUCCCACUGCUGUUUAAGGCGUUGCUGUGAGUCUUGCAAAGCGCCCCACUUCUUCAGAGCCUCAUUUUGGUAGCCAUGGCCACAGUAAUGUGUUAUCUACAAACCGAAGGGGCAGUCAUUUACUCUAGUGUUAAUCUUCCUGCUGUUGCAUCGUUUGCACACACCUUCAGCUUGUACUCACUUGGGCUUUAUAUUUAUUCCUCAUCCCAGACGUGGCUCUAGAGAGCAAUGACUGUUCAUGAGUGGACUUCUCACUGCAGCAUGUUGGCAGUGGGAGGGGGCCACAUUCAAAAAUACAUUUUCUCAUUCUGUUGCUUGGAGAAUGCAAAAAAAAAAAAAAAAAA
rnacentral:lncRNA from 1 species